rnacentral:lncRNA from 1 species
GCACCUCUGACUGCAGUGGAAACCAAAGCACCAGCCAACUGCCCCCCUCCCAUCAUACCUUACAGCAAAAAAUAUACUGUACUAAAUGUCCACAUCACUGCCACUUAGCCCUGUCAAAGCUGAGACUAGUUUUCAUUCAAAAGUUGGUGGUUGCUCUGCUGGGUUCCAGAGCCUGGGUCUGUUUACGUGGUUGCCGCAGCAACGCUGUUCCGAGCCAGCCCAGGGCUACUGGUCAUUCGUGCUCUGGACCUGGUCGCUGACAGAAGGAGCUUCAGAUUUUAGGACAGAAAAUACUGUAUAUCCAGGUUCACCAGUGCUUUCUUGAGAUGCUCUCAGGUUGGCUUCCGGAUGACAUGAUGAACUUGGGGGGGGGCUAUGAACAUUUGCCUUUCACUGAAUCAUUUGGAGUGGGAGGGGCUUUAGUCUUGGAUUGCGUACUUCAGAUUCAUAGUAGCUCUCCAGAAUGUCCCCUCUAAAGCCUUCAGAAAUGGAGAUCCCAAGGGCUGGACCUCUAUCUUUUCAUAUCCAGAGAUCCCAGGAAUUGAUUACCAAGCAGGUGUCAUUCCUCUGAGCAGCAGAGAGAGACUCCGCACAACUAUGGCCUUGUGUAAAGGACAGAAUUUGGGCACAGCUCCUUCUCAUACUGGGGAGCUGUCCAAAUCCUCUGAAAGGCAUAUCUAUAAGAAGGUUCAGGAAAUCCCUCUUCUAUUCCUAAAGCUCACCUUGUCCUACAUACAGAGCUUGUAAAAGCUACUUUUUGGGUGACGGUUUCCCAACGCCAGCCCUAAAUCUGGCUAAGAAAUACUAGGAAUUCUUGUAGAAUCAUAUAAUUAUCAUUUCUGUUGGUUGAUUCCUGGAGCCCAGUACUUAUGAGUUGCUGGAGAGCAAAGGACGGGAGGUGAUGGUUGUCUGCAUAGUCUGCCUGAUGCUUUCAUGGAGCACCUCUGAAAACAGGAGUCAGGGCUAGUUGCUGGAGUGAUGGUUUCAUCCUGUGGGGUUUUUAUGCCUUCAGUUUCUGAACUGCAGUGUCCUCAUUUCAGUGUCACUGAGCUGCAACAACAGGAGUGCAAAGAGGAGCAGCCACCACGUGAGACCAGUCCAGUGGAGUCUACAGCAUCUUGGGAUUUGAUGGAGAUGGAAGCCCCAGACAGCAGAUGGAGUGGCCCUGAAGACUUGGUUUCUGACCUUCCAUCUGCUUCAGAAAGGCAAAUCAGCAGAGGGAUAGGAAGGGGUGCUCUGGUUUGGUCCAUAUACACCCCCAGACUUCUUCUCCACAUCAGAGCUAGGGCAAUGGCUAGGAUUCUCUGGCAAGUGCCCGAUGAUUUCUGCCUAGCUUUCUAGCUCAAUCGCUGGAAAAAUAGCUGGCAUUUGGCCAACCUCAUCACAGCUAACAUGUGUCAUACCUCGUUCAUGGAUACAGUAAGGAAAGGGAUCUCUGUAUUCAGAGAUGUCUGUCUGUCUGUCUGUCUGUCUGUCCAUCCGUCUGUUCAUUCAUGUAAUUUGUAUCCCACUCUCAUUAGUAUCACAGCACUACUAUGGGUAGGUUACAACACGUAAAAUAGGAAACAAAAAUAAAAAUAGAUACGUUAAAACCA